rnacentral:rRNA from 1 species
GACGAACGCUGGCGGCGUGCUUAACACAUGCAAGUCGAACGGAAAGGCCCUGCUUUUGUGGGGUGCUCGAGUGGCGAACGGGUGAGUAACACGUGAGUAACCUGCCCUUGACUUUGGGAUAACUUCAGGAAACUGGGGCUAAUACCGGAUAGGAGCUCCUGCUGCAUGGUGGGGGUUGGAAAGGUUCGGCGGGUGGGGAUGGACUCGCGGCUUAUCAGCUUGUUGGUGGGGUAGUGGCUUACCAAGGCUUUGACGGGUAGCCGGCCUGAGAGGGUGACCGGCCACAUUGGGACUGAGAUACGGCCCAGACUCCUACGGGAGGCAGCAGUGGGGAAUAUUGCACAAUGGGCGGAAGCCUGAUGCAGCAACGCCGCGUGCGGGAUGACGGCCUUCGGGUUGUAAACCGCUUUCGCCUGUGACGAAGCGUGAGUGACGGUAAUGGGUAAAGAAGCACCGGCUAACUACGUG